rnacentral:rRNA from 1 species
GAUGAACGCUGGCGGCGUGCCUAAUACAUGCAAGUCGAGCGAACGGACGAGAAGCUUGCUUCUCUGAUGUUAGCGGCGGACGGGUGAGUAACACGUGGAUAACCUACCUAUAAGACUGGGAUAACUUCGGGAAACCGGAGCUAAUACCGGAUAAUAUUUUGAACCGCAUGGUUCAAAAGUGAAAGACGGUCUUGCUGUCACUCAUAGAUGGAUCCGCGCUGCAUUAGCUAGUUGGUAAGGUAACGGCUUACCAAGGCAACGAUGCAUAGCCGACCUGAGAGGGUGAUCGGCCACACUGGAACUGAGACACGGUCCAGACUCCUACGGGAGGCAGCAGUAGGGAAUCUUCCGCAAUGGGCGAAAGCCUGACGGAGCAACGCCGCGUGAGUGAUGAAGGUCUUCGGAUCGUAAAACUCUGUUAUUAGGGAAGAACAUAUGUGUAAGUAACUGUGCACAUCUUGACGGUACCUAAUCAGAAAGCCACGGCUAACUACGUGCCAGCAGCCGCGGUAAUACGUAGGUGGCAAGCGUUAUCCGGAAUUAUUGGGCGUAAAGCGCGCGUAGGCGGUUUUUUAAGUCUGAUGUGAAAGCCCACGGCUCAACCGUGGAGGGUCAUUGGAAACUGGAAAACUUGAGUGCAGAAGAGGAAAGUGGAAUUCCAUGUGUAGCGGUGAAAUGCGCAGAGAUAUGGAGGAACACCAGUGGCGAAGGCGACUUUCUGGUCUGUAACUGACGCUGAUGUGCGAAAGCGUGGGGAUCAAACAGGAUCAGAUACCCUGGUAGUCCACGCCGUAAACGAUGAGUGCUAAGUGUUAGGGGGUUUCCGCCCCUUAGUGCUGCAGCUAACGCAUUAAGCACUCCGCCUGGGGAGUACGACCGCAAGGUUGAAACUCAAAGGAAUUGACGGGGACCCGCACAAGCGGUGGAGCAUGUGGUUUAAUUCGAAGCAACGCGAAGAACCUUACCAAAUCUUGACAUCCUUUGACAACUCUAGAGAUAGAGCCUUCCCCUUCGGGGGACAAAGUGACAGGUGGUGCAUGGUUGUCGUCAGCUCGUGUCGUGAGAUGUUGGGUUAAGUCCCGCAACGAGCGCAACCCUUAAGCUUAGUUGCCAUCAUUAAGUUGGGCACUCUAAGUUGACUGCCGGUGACAAACCGGAGGAAGGUGGGGAUGACGUCAAAUCAUCAUGCCCCUUAUGAUUUGGGCUACACACGUGCUACAAUGGACAAUACAAAGGGCAGCGAAACCGCGAGGUCAAGCAAAUCCCAUAAAGUUGUUCUCAGUUCGGAUUGUAGUCUGCAACUCGACUACAUGAAGCUGGAAUCGCUAGUAAUCGUAGAUCAGCAUGCUACGGUGAAUACGUUCCCGGGUCU